AAAAAGAUAAACUCUGGGUUUUCGUGUCCAACGUUUGACUGUCCGUCUUAUAUGAAAAUUUUUUAUAAUUACUAUUUUUAUUGUUGUUAGAUGAUAAAAUAUGAUUAAUACUUUAUACGUGACUUGUCUUUUUUUUAUAAUUUUUUAAAAUAAGACGGACGGUCAAACGUUGGACACGGAAAUCCAGGGUUUUUCUUUUU
rnacentral:pre_miRNA from 1 species